rnacentral:rRNA from 1 species
UNGGAGAGGAAAGUGGAAUUCCUAGUGUAGCGGUGAAAUGCGUAGAUAUUAGGAAGAACACCAGUGGCGAAGGCGACUUUCUGGACGAAAACUGACGCUGAGGCGCGAAAGCCAGGGGAGCGAACGGGAUUAGAUACCCCGGUAGUCCUGGCCGUAAACGAUGGGUACUAGGUGUAGGAGGUAUCGACCCNUUCUGUGCCGGAGUUAACGCAAUAAGUACCCCGCCUGGGGAGUACGACCGCAAGGUUGAAACUCAAAGGAAUUGACGGGGGCCCGCACAAGCGGUGGAGUAUGUGGUUUAAUUCGACGCAACGCGAAGAACCUUACCAGGUCUUGACAUUGAUGGACAGAACCAGAGAUGGUUCCUCUUCUUCGGAAGCCAGAAAACAGGUGGUGCACGGUUGUCGUCAGCUCGUGUCGUGAGAUGUUGGGUUAANNNNNNNNNCGAGCGCAACCCCUAUCUUAUGUUGCCAGCACUUUGGGUGGGGACUCAUGAGAGACUGCCGCAGACAAUGCGGAGGAAGGCGGGGAUGACGUCAAAUCAUCAUGCCCCUUAUGACCUGGGCUACACACGUACUACAAUGGGAGUUAAUAGACGGAAGCGAGAUCGCGAGAUGGAGCAAACCCGAGAAACACUCUCUCAGUUCGGAUCGUAGGCUGCAACUCGCCUACGUGAAGUCGGAAUCGCUAGUAAUCGCAGGUCAGCAUACUGCGGUGAAUACGUUCCCGGGCCUNG